rnacentral:rRNA from 1 species
UACGUAGGCAGCAAGCGUUGUUCGGAGUUACUGGGCGUAAAGGGUGUGUAGGCGGUUGUUUAAGUUUGGGGUGAAAUCUCCCGGCUCAACUGGGAGGGUGCGCCGAAUACUGAAUGACUUCGAGUGCGGGAGAGGAAAGUGGAAUUCCUGGUGUAGCGGUGAAAUGCGUAGAUAUCAGGAGGAACACCGGUGGUGUAGACGGCUUUCUGGACCGUAACUGACGCUGAGACACGAAAGCGUGGGUAGCAACCAGG